CCUAACCGUGCGAAGGUAGCGUAAUCACUUGUUCUUUAAAUGAGGACUAGUAUGAAUGGCCCCACGAGGGCUGCACUGUCUCCUUUUUCUAAUCAAUGAAACUAAUCUCCCCGUGAAGAAGCGGGGAUAAUUCUAUAAGACGAGAAGACCCUAUGGAGCUUUAAACAACUGAAACACUUGCUUUUCCAUUAACCUCUUCCGAGUUCUUUACUUCACUCAAGCAUUUUUAUUUCUAGUUUUAGGUUGGGGUGACCACGGAGCAAAACUAAACCUCCACGAAGAAAUGAAUACUUUUUAAGCCACAAACUACUUUUUUAAGCAUCAACAAAUUGACCUUCAUUGACCCAAUAUAUUGAUCAACGAACCAAGUUACCCUAGGGAUAACAGCGCAAUCUACUUCGAGAGGUCGUAUCGACAAGUAGGUUUACGACCUCGAUGUUGGAUCAGGGUAUCCUAGUGGUG
rnacentral:rRNA from 1 species